rnacentral:rRNA from 1 species
UACGUAGGGUCCGAGCGUUGUCCGGAAUUACUGGGCGUAAAGAGCUCGUAGGUGGUUUGUCGCGUUGUUCGUGAAAACUCACAGCUCAACUGUGGGCGUGCGGGCGAUACGGGCAGACUAGAGUACUGCAGGGGAGACUGGAAUUCCUGGUGUAGCGGUGGAAUGCGCAGAUAUCAGGAGGAACACCGGUGGCGAAGGCGGGUCUCUGGGCAGUAACUGACGCUGAGGAGCGAAAGCGUGGGGAGCGAACAGGAUUAGAACCUACCGUAGU